rnacentral:rRNA from 1 species
CUCAGGACGAACGCUGGCGGCGUGCCUAACACAUGCAAGUCGAACGAAGACCAUAGAGGAGCUUGCUUUAAUAUGGUUUUAGUGGCGGACGGGUGAGUAACGCGUGAGGACUUGUCGAGUACAGGGGGACAACAGGUGGAAACGUCUGCUAAUACCCCCAUAAGCCUUCGGGUAAAAGGAGCGAUCCGGUACACGAGAGACUCGCGUUCUAUCAGCUAGUAGGUGGGGUAACGGCCCCACCCAGGCCAAGACGGAUAGCCGGACUGAGAGGUCGAUCGGCCACACUGGAACUGAGACACGGUCCAGACUCCUACGGGAGGCAGCAGGUGGGGAAUAUUGGGCAAUGGGGGAAACCCUCGACCCAGCGACGCCGCGUGAGUGAAGAAAUCCCUCGGGAUAGUAAAACUCUGUUGUGUGGGAAGAUAAUGACGGUACCACACGAGGAAGCCCCGGCAAACUACGUGCCAGCAGCCGC